GACGAACGCUGGCGGCGUGCCUAAUACAUGCAAGUUGAGCGCUGAAGGUUGGUACUUGUACCAACUGGAUGAGCAGCGGACGGGUGAGUAACGCGUGGGGAAUCUGCCUUUGAGCGGGGGACAACAUUUGGAAACGAAUGCUAAUACCGCAUAAAAACUUUAAACACAAGUUUUAAGUUUGAAAGAUGCAAUUGCAUCACUCAAAGAUGAUCCCGCGUUGUAUUAGCUAGUUGGUGAGGUAAAGGCUCACCAAGGCGAUGAUACAUAGCCGACCUGAGAGGGUGAUCGGCCACAUUGGGACUGAGACACGGCCCAAACUCCUACAGGAGGCAGCAGUAGGGAAUCUUCGGCAAUGGACGAAAGUCUGACCGAGCAACGCCGCGUGAGUGAAGAAGGUUUUCGGAUCGUAAAACUCUGUUGGUAGAGAAGAACGUUGGUGAGAGUGGAAAGCUCAUCAAGUGACGGUAACUACCCAGAAAGGGACGGCUAACUACGUG
rnacentral:rRNA from 1 species